GUGUUGUAUGUAUAUUGUAUGUACUAUGUAUGUGUAGUGUGUACUGUGUGGGUACUUGGUUCGUACCAAUUUAUCGAUUUAUGUUUUUACUUUUUCAGUUUUUGAAACGCACUAACGCAGUACGUUUAAAACAGACCUAUUUCGAUGUCUUUAUCGGUCUUAUACUGAUCGUUGUAAUGUCUUCGAAAAGCGUUUGAGAAGCAACGACAAUGGAAAACCAGUCGAUUGACAAACCAGCCAUUGUGAGUCCGCCUAGACAAGUUUUGCCUGGUUAUGUGGCACAACAACCUCCACCACUCAAUAACCAAAUACACUUGCAGACGGAUUUUACGUCUCCACCACCAACACAUCCCCAUGGGUUCUGGCCACAACAAGCUUUUCCUAAUUCGUGGCAAACACAAUUCCGUAUGCCCAGUCCUGCUCCACAGGCUAAGACUACCGUCACAAACACUACGACAUGUAACAACAAUGCUCCCACGUUCAGUGCAUCUAGUAACAGUACUAUAAGAUCACCUUUACCACGCUGGAGGUCGUUCAACAACGGAGCACGACAACGGACACCUUAUCAGUAUGGGAAUACUCCAAGAAAUAAUUAUCCAAGACAGUUCUCUCAAAAUGCUAAUGGGAAUUUCUUUGCUAAUUCUCCACAAAAUCCGCAAACACCAUCAUCAUCGUCAACACAAAACUGGCCUCAAUUUAGUCAAAGACCUCGGUUUAUACCAAGACAACAUAUGCGUAUGAACAGACCUCGUAGUUCUGUUCAAAAUCAAUCAAAUGGAACUAAUCAGGAAGCAAAUGCUGUAACUGAAUGCAAAACACGGAAGCGCAAAUUAAAAUCACAACAAUCUGGAGAACCACAGCGUGCCCAAAAACCAUGGAAUCGUGAAGAUGCUGUAAAAGCAAUUGCUGCUGAGAUGGAACUUCGAACACCUAAAAAUAAUCAACAGAUCAUGAUCAGGUUUCCAGAUCAUGAAAUUACACGGCAAAUUGUUCAGAACUUUCAUACUGACAUUAAAUCUGUACAUUUCCAUACGCCGUGUAACCCAAGGUACUGUUAUGUGCAAGUACAACCAAGUGCAAAUAUUGAAAAUGUUGCAAAUGCACUAAAUGAAACUUUUUUCCAACAUGAAAAAUUGAGAGUAGAAAUAAAAGAAAGUCAGUUUGAAGAAAAGGCAUUCCCGGAGUGUAUUGAUCCAUAUACAUUAUAUCUUGGAAAUUUGCCAACAAACAUCACAUCUAAUGCUGUUAAGGAUGAAUUUCCAAAAGCCACUCGAGUUGACAUUGGGUUUGCUAAAAAAAUGAAGUACACAAGAUAUGCAUUUAUUAAAUUCUCUAAUGCGGAAGAUGCGAUACAAGCGUAUAAAGAAAAAUAUAAUUUGGUUAUUGAUAGCCGAUCAGUUGUGUUAAGAUUUAGACGUGGCAAAGGAAAUGUAAAUCCACCUGGACAAGUUGAUAAAUUACCAAAUGAGAUGAAUGAAUUUGACAUACAAAGUCUACGGAAAAAAAUCAAGAGAGAACCUAUUGAAGAAAAUAUUGAUGAAUAUGAUCCUCCUCCAAUUAAUGUAUCGAGAGUUGUUAAGCCUGAAAUGAUGGAAGAAGAUGAAUAUGAACAUGAUUCUGUAUAUGAAUCUCAUGUACCAUAUGGAAAUGAUAUUAGUAUAAAAUCUGAAUGUCCAGAUUAUGAUGAUGAAUAUGAUGAACAAUAUUAUGAAGAAGAAGAUACAUCAAAUGUAUCAUAUACUUUCCGAAGAAAUGAAUCUGUCAGUAUGGAUGUAGUGCUUGCUGAUAACAAUAGUGUACAGUGCAUUCAAAACGAUCAUAGUGACGAUAUCACAAUACCUACAGGAGUUGAGGAUGAAGAUAGACGAUGGAAUGAAAAACCUGAAGACGAAGAUGAGUUUGAUAUGCCAUAUUCAUUUGUACCAAAAAAACAAGGACCAUCAGAAAAUAACAAAGACAUUACUUUGCCUACAACCGAUGAAAUCAAUGAUGGUGGAAGCGACAGGGAAGACCAAAGAUGGAACAAUUCAUCAGAUGAUGAUAAUGAUGAUGGUGGCGCUGAAUACAAUUGGGAAGGAUUAAAUGAGCAAAAAAAGUCGGAGAAACAAACUAAAGAUUAUGAAAAACGAGAAUAUAACUUUAAAAAAUCAGAUGACAUUAGAGCCGUUAAAUGAUUCAAAUUCAAACUCGAAAUACACAUGAGUCUUGUUCACUCAAUGUGGCCAAAAGGGUAUUUAGGUUUGUAUCGGCCCGGUAUUGGGGCAUGUCAAGACGCAAAACUGAUGCACGUGUACUGAAGCGACAGAAGGAACGUCAAUCACGAGCUGCAAGUCGUCCGACCUCAAAUGAAUUGAACUCACAAUACGCCGUCUAUUCUAUUUUCUAAGCUGUACCAUUGAAAAUCAAUCUACAUUAAGGAUCCCUUCAGACAUUCCUCUACAUUGCGUAUGUUUUAAUCCUAUAUAUUAUCAUAGUUAAUCAAUAUUAAUACUUGUUAAAGCUAUGUGCGUGAAUCGGUGAAUAUAGUCUUAGUAGCAAACUAUCUUUCUGUACAAGGUGUUCCUCUAAAUAUCAUCAAAUUUUGUUGACUGCCGUUAGUUCGGAAUCUGUGUGAGUAGAUGAUUGAAACAUGCUCAUUCCAGUUGCCGCCUCUCGGCCAAUUGAGAAAAAUGCUUAAAAUCAUCGAGGUACUCUGUAUAAACUAUUUAUGUAUAAGUAUAGAAUAGUUUCAUUUCCUCUUAUAAUGUUAGUAUAGUGUAUUAUGUUUGGUACUUUAUGUUGUUUAUGUUGUACAAUUAUAAUACUUAUAUAGUCAAUAUUAUAUAAUUACACACAUCACAUAUUAUAAUAUAAUAUAAAUUAUACUUAGUCUAUUAUGCGUACAUAAUAUGCAAUAAUAAUAUUAAACGUUAUAAUAAUAUUAUACCAUAAACUAGUUCCUCUAUAUUCAGUGUUACAAACACACUUACAUUUUAACAUAUAUUAUACACAUAUAUUGUCGUAUUUUUUUCUCUUUAUAGUGAUGUACUUCCAACAUAAUAUUAAAUUAUGUAAUUAGAAGAAAAAAAAUUAUAUGUGUAUGUUGGAUGUACACAAUUAAUGUAUCUUAAUUGUCUAUUAUGUGUUGUGGAGUUAAUGUUUUUGAAUAUAAUAUUAUAAGUGUACGGUAUAUAUAAACUGAACUAUCCGUAUUAUAAGAUUUUAUGGGAAAGUCUUCGAAAAUGGAGGUUUUGCUUAUCCUUAAACUUGUAUAUUGACCGUGAUGGCAUAAUAUUGUAUAAAAAAUUUUUUGGCUGAAAUAGUAUAUUGUUUUUUUUUUUUGUGUACCAAUAAGUCUGUGCUCAUAUUGUCGUAUUAUAUUUACUCUAAUUUUUUUUUAUUUAAAUUUAGAUAUAAGCCUACAAUUGUUUUUGCUCCGCAUAAUUGACAAAUUGUAAAAAUUAUGAUUAUGCAUCAUGCUAUCAAACAUAUCGGGUAAUUUAUGUGUAUUUAUACUGUAAAGCUUGCUUUAAAAUUAAGAUUUAUAUAUUGAAAUAAUUUUCAUUAACAUAUAUUAUGAUUAAAAUCAAAAGGGAUUUUAAUUUAUAUAAUACAAUACUAUAGAUAUUUAUUUUAUAAAAUAUAUAAAAAUAAACUACAAACUUUUGGGAGUUUGUAGGUUAUAUGAAUAAGACUUUUUUUAGAUACAACUCAUAUUAUUAUUACUAAAAUAUAUUAAAUUUAAGUUCAUGUGACAUCAUUAUAAAUUUUAAUUACACCGUGUCCAAUGAUUUAUCGGAUUAUCAUUCUACUAUCUUAUCUUAUCGGGAAUUAGAAUAGCCACUAUUAUUCAUUGUAUGUUUUGAUAUUCAUCAAAAAUAAAUUUUGGCUGGAUAACUCGUUUCUAGUUCUUGGAAAUAAAUGUUGUGCUAAACUUUAUAUCGCAUUGUUGCAAAUUUCAUAUGGGUUGCCAAUACCUUUUUAUUUGAUAAUUUUCAUAAUUUUUAUUUGUAUUAUAACUUACUAU